CUGAAAUGCUGUGGCUGCUCAGGCUCUGAAAGGGGAUGUCUUUCUGAGGAGGGCUUCCAAGCCAUGGGGAUGACAAGUUCACAGCACACGAGGCAUGCCAGUGGUCCCUGGUUAAGGAAAUCCCAAAGUGGGUGAGCUCCCAUGUCACGCUGGGUCCCAGCCGGCAUGCAGGCUUGUCCUGAGGAUACCAUGAACCAUGCAGUUAGAGCUUUUAUUCUAGAGACACCAGGUGGUGGUGCCACAUCAGGCUUUUCAAUGAUCCUCUCCUAGACCAUGAACGUUCUCUGCCUUCUGAGUCGUCACUUUCCUAUUCCACAGAUAAAAUGAAAAAGCGAGAAAACAGCUUCUAUCACCAUGACAGCCACCUGGAAACACCUAUCUCUGUUGGCAACGGGGAGCAUUUGGAAAGUGAACUCCCGGUUCUCUGGCCUUUGGACUGAGACUGAAUUGCAGUGGCAGCUUUCCUGAGUCUCCCGCUGGCAGACAGCAGAUGGCAGGACUUCUUGGCCUCCAAUCAUCAUGUGAGCCAAUUCCCAUAAUAAAUCUCCUCUUAUCUAUCCUCUUGGUUCCAUUUCCCUGGAGAACCCCAACGAAUACAGGGGAUGUGUGUGAAUCUUCUAAAAAAUGGCCAUAACAAUGUUCCCCACUCCACCUGCUCUUCCAGAACCCUGACACCACCCCCAGCAAGAGACAGACGCUUUGUCCCCCACCGCCCUUAAACUCAACUGAGCCUUUGUGCCUGCCUUGCUCCUGGAGUAUGGUGGGAGUGAUGCUGUGGAAAUUUUGAGUUAUCACAAGAGGUUGUGCAGCUCACUCUCGGGAUGUUUGCCACCAAAAUCCCACCAUCCCUCAGAGAGGCCCCUUGCAGGUGUCCCGGCUGAUGGUCCUAGCUCAAGUUCUGACUGGCAGCUGGCAUCAGCGGCCACAGGUGCAAGACCACAGCCUUUCUGACCCUUCCAGUCUCUACUUGUCCUUUGAGCCACCCCAGCAGAGGUGAGUGGCCCUCCCCAAACCCCCUGCUCAAAUUGCAGAUUUAGGACAACUAUGAAGCGCUAUCUUAGUCCCAAACUUCCCGGAGGAUUGAGUAUGCACGUGGAGAGUCACGCGUGAGUACAGAGGUGGGCCGGGGUAGCUGUCAGGGCCCAAAAUGUUCACUUGGAAAAUAACAGGAUGUACGUGGUUUAGAAAGUCUUGAGUCCAGGUAAUAUGACCUAGGGAGAAAGUAUAUAGAAAAGGGUGGAGGGCUGAGCUUGGGGCACUUCAUCACUAGCCAGAUGGCGGGGAGAGGGGAGGAAAGUCAGCAGUGGGUGGUGCUGCAGAGGGGCUGUGUCAAAGGGGAGGGUUGCUGGGAGCUGGCGAACAGGACACUAGGAUGUCCACGAAACCUGAUGCCAUGAAGUCAUUGGUGACCUGUCAAGAGCGUUAGUGCAGAGCAGAGGGUGAAAGCCAGGGGAGUUCAUGACCAGAGGUGAGGCGGUGUGUGGAGUGCUGCUGGGGUGGGGAGGGGGAUGUCAAGUGAUGGUGGGAGGGCUGGCUUUCCAGGAGGGCUGGGCACUGCUUCCUUGUCAGGCAGAGAAGGUGGACUCAGGCAGGUAGGUUUUUACCUGGAAGCAGAAAUGCAAGGGCUUUUGCUGAGACCUUUUACAGAAAGAGGGCGCUGCAGUAAAAGCUUCCAACCCCAGCCCUUCUAGUCUGUGUCCAGGUCAGUGAACAAACCCACAGAGGACAUCCUGACCUUUCUCUCUUCGGAGCUGUGCUCCUCUGACUCAUUCCCAGCUCUGUGCAUCUCCAGGCUUCUCUGCCCUGUGGGGCUGUGGGCUCCUGAGUAGGACGGCUGUGGGCUCCUGAGUAGGACUUCUGUUCCUUUGCAUUCUCUGCGGUUCUAGGAAGUGCUUGGUCCCUGACAGAUGCCCACUCAACACUUGCUGAUGGAGAGCUUGUCAAUUUCAUCUAACAAACCGGAAUCACUGGGGCCAUCCAGGAAUCGAAGCAGAACAUGAAGAAAUUCCAUGCAAACAGGGCUGUUAAAAGCCAACCCGCCAGAGAGGGCAGAACGGAGGAAGGACAAGAGGGUUCCACGUCCUGGAGGCAGAUCUUUCCUUGGACCAUUGACCACAGUGCCGCCUCUACUGCAAAACAUGUACCCAGGAGGGAAAGCCAGGCAUCUUCCUAUUUCUUCCUGGAGAGGGGAGCACGAGGUGGGGGGCUGCUGGAUUUCUGGGGAGGAAACUGCACAGAUGGAUGGAGGAGCCCACCUCACUCCCCUGCAUCUCUUGAGGAGGUGCCCUACCAGCUGGGGAGUCAGCCCCACAGAAUCACUGCUGUUAAGGGGCUCAGUCCUACAGGAGUGCCAGGAAGGGCUUGCGUUUCCUCUGUGAGUAUUGCUACAAUGUAUGUGAAAAUCACAGAAGGGCAAGGGCUUCACCCUGUGGGUCUAUUAAAACCAAGUGCAGCAUUGGCAAGGUUUCUGCCUGAAAUGAUCAAUGACCGUCAUGAAACUCAGGCAUUUAGGGUGACCUUGCAGACAGAUGUCCCCUCUGAAAGGUCUUAGUGUUGUGCAGCCUGCUCUGGGGCUGAGGGGAAAAGGCUGGCAUGUGGCACGUCUCCAGCAUAUGCAGGUGGUGUGCCUGCUCUUCCCAAGGGAUCCCUCAUAGGCCUCCACGGCAGCGUGGAACAUUCCACAACAAUCCUCACGGCUGAUGCCGGCCACUGAGGUUGGCAGGGGUGCAUGUCUUGCUCAAAGUUGCAGAGGUAGGAGUGGCAAGUGGUCCAGCAACCCCCAUCUCAUGGACUGAAUUCCAUCGUCCUAUGUGAAUAAGAGGUUGUACUGAAUGGAGCUUUAAUUGGAAGCGGGAAUCAAAGAACCAGGUCACUGCCCAUCUCCACCAUUUACUCAUUAUCUUUCCUAGCCUGGGUCACUGGCUUUUAAUUUUCCAGUCUAUAAAUAGAACUGCUCCAUGAGAUCAUGGAAGGGUAUCUCCAAAGUCCUUCAACAGGGACAGGUGUCUGUUCUCACUGUUCACUAGUGUCGCCAUGAGGCAGGGCCAGGUCAGGGCCAGGCGUGAAGUGGUUUUGAGGGCAGGUGGUCCCAAGGGCUCUGCCCCUUGUAGGCAUUUUACUCUCAUAAGAAUUAGGGUUUGCUUAAUUCUAGCUAGAGUCCUAGUGGGUGCUGUUCACACAGCUGUGGGCUAUGGGUGGCUCUGGCUCACCUGGAAGAAUUUUUGAGAACUUUGGGGUGUUUGCUUAACUGCCUGGAGCUGUGUCUGGGCCAGCCCCCUAGAGGAUGCUUCCAUGUGUUAGGUGAGAAGACAAGUUACAAAGUGGCAUGUACAGAAGCCACCCGGUUUUUAAUACAGAUGUGUGUGUACCUAUGUAACAGUUUGGAAGACAAACCAUUAUAAAAAUUUAUCAUGUCAGCAAAUGGUUUCUGGGACUAAUUUUCCUUUUAGUGUGUUCUAUAGUAGGAGCUGCUUUUAUAAUUAAAAAUAAAACUGGAGAAUUCUGCCAAUGACUCUUUGGUGUAACCUGCUGGUGGCCCACCAUCCUAACCAGCUGCAUUUUCAUUUGAGCUGAGGUGGUGCCAGGCCUGCCCUGGCCUAAAAUCCACAGGUAAUAUACUCUCCUUAACCAGAGUUUUGAUGGAGAGGCUGUGCGGUGUGGGGCACCAGGGGGAAGGGGGGCCUGUUGGCAUGCUACAUCCCCACUUACUAGCGGUGUGACGUCAGGCAAAUGACUUAACCUCUCUGAGCCUCAGUUUAUUUGCAGCAUGAGGAUAAUAAACUCUUGUUUACAGAAUUGUCUCCUGGAGUAGAGGCAGUAUGGAACAGGAGCCUAGCGGGGGGUCUCAGAGUAGAGCUCAACAAAUGCUGCUGUUGUUAUUCUCAACAGCAAAUGCACGGCCAAGAGCACAGACAGCUGGCCAGGGAGCUCCUGGAGCCCAGCAAGGCACACUGCGUCACCUGGCCCACUCCCUUAGCACUCCCUGGGCUGCCCUUAGGUCACCAGGCCCUCCACAGGCAGGUGCAGACAGCCCUGUCUGCCUGGCUCCCUGAGUUGAUCUGGCAGCCAGACCUCGGGGAGCACAAUUAGAGGCUGUUUUGGUCCUGAAGACAAACAUGAUUCCAGACAGGUCUGAAGGGGUUGCUGUAGAAGGACAUCCUCGUAACCUGAGCUGGGCGGUGGUGGGAAGGAUAACAGGCGCAUGGGGUGAAUUCCUUCUCUGUUGGCCUCCCCUGAGGCUUCAGCUUUAAUUGAACAGUGAGGAGACUGCAGUGUCUCCUGAUAGCAUCAAACUUGCCCCAAGCAUCGCUGUGAAGCCAUUUUUUAGGCUUUAAUAAUCCAAGCAAACAGAUCUAUAAAAAACAUAUCUGGUCUUGUUUGAAGCUCUCACUGACAGUCCUUUUGUCAAGGGGCUCAUCACAUCCACAUUUCAUGUGGCUUCCCAAGACUCAGGUAACUGAGACAGAAAUGGAGGCAGCAAUAAAUUUAACCGAAAAGCUCCUUGCCAGGAAACCUGAAGUGAGUGGAGCUCCCUCCCCAGCAGGUGCCCACAGCCGUGCAUCUGAGCUGGCCACCCGGUGGAGAGGCAGCCUCCGCAUCCGCCCACCACCCUUCCCAGGCAGGGAGGGGGUGUCAUCAGAAAAACAGUAACAAAAUUGUUGAUGCGCAAAGGGCAAAAGGUUCACGGCAACAAAGGGAAGAGGUUCAAUCUGGAUUUACUCAUGUGCUUUUUUGUGCAAAUUAUUUCAUGAAGUUACUGUGAAAAAGAGAUUUCCCUUUAGGUAGAGUUUCCAGCAAAAAGAGAAAAGAUGUUAGGUUCCCCAGACCAAUGUGAUAGUGAGACACUGUGCAAGCGUUACUAGCUUCUUUAAUAAUAAUAGAAACGGCAGUCGCCAUCGCAGCAGGGCCCACCUCCUGCCUGUCUGCUGUGUACAGGGCACCGGGCUUAUGUACGAGCUUGUUCAUCCUCACACUGACAGCUGCUGUGGCCAGAGCUCAGAACACAGUAGGUGCUCAAUAAGUGGUGUCUGCUAGGGAUGCGGCACCACCUUUCGGAGAGGCAGAAUGUGAGGUUUCAGAGUGUCCAUGUGAGUCUUCC